AAUAGAUACCCGGGUAGUCCACGCCGUAAACGGUGGGCACUAGGUGUGGGCGACAUUCCACGUCGUCCGUGCCGCAGCUAACGCAUUAAGUGCCCCGCCUGGGGAGUACGGCCGCAAGGCUAAAAACUCAAAGGAAUUGACGGGGGGCCCGCACAAGCGGCGGAGCAUGUGGCUUAAUUCGACGCAACGCGAAGAACCUUACCAAGGCUUGACAUACACCGGAAAGCAUCAGAGAUGGUGCCCCCCUUGUGGUCGGUGUACAGGUGGUGCAUGGCUGUCGUCAGCUCGUGUCGUGAGAUGUUGGGUUAAGUCCCGCAACGAGCGCAACCCUUGUCCCGUGUUGCCAGCAGGCCCUUGUGGUGCUGGGGACUCACGGGAGACCGCCGGGGUCAACGUCGGAGGAAGGUGGGGACGACGUCAAGUCAUCAUGCCCCGUUAUGUCUUGGGCUGCACACGUGCUACAAUGGCCGGUACAAUGAGCUGCGAUACCGCGAGGUGGAGCGAAUCUCAAAAACGGCCGGUCUCAGUUCGGAUUGGGGU
rnacentral:rRNA from 1 species